CUCUUUGCCUUUCAUCAAAGUGAGGGUCAGCCCCUUCCACUCGAUGCGACCAUAAUCCUGAAGGCUAUGCCAUAUUCUUUCCGCCAUUUGUUCAUAAGGCCAGUCCUCGGCCUUGAAAACCAUUGCAUUACGUUCGAUUCACAACUCCCAAAUCGCAAUGCUCCUGAGGAGGGUCCAAAUUAAUUUUACAUUGCCAAAUUUUUUAGGCAGAUUUUUGGAGAAUACACAAUGGUUUCACGCUAUUCAAGUUCGUGUGGGUGGUUCCGCUGGCUUACUUUGCAGAACAUGUAUCAAGUUUGCACACCAUUGCUAGAUUUGAUUUGCACGGGGGUACUCCUAUCUAUGCAUAAUGGUUUUGGCAUAUCCGGGACAGAAGGAGCACACUGUGUUGAUGCGAGUAGGAGGUGAUUGCCGGGCCACUCGAAUCGUUUUGGAUCGAAGUGGAGGUCUGCUAUCGGCCCAUAAUAAUAGUGUUUGGUAUUGUCGCACUCUUUUUAUUAUUUCCAGUACUCGGAUAAUUCGGAUUGUGCCGGUGAUUGUUGCUUUCUUGGGAUUGACUGCACGUUGAACCUACUAUGAGGCUUGCUGAGAAGUAAGCCAAAGCUGUAUAUCUAGGAUUUCAGCUAGUGUUUGGGUCGCUACUGUGAUUAGGUAGAGGUCAGACGGGAGAUCUGUAAUCGGCAUGGUGAAUUCCCUGUUACAUGGUAAAAAAUUUCGGCUGGGACGACAAGAGCAAGGGUGUGGCUCUGGGUUGAUGGGAACAAACCCAGCCAAUCGAAGCGGCCUAAGGAACUAACUUCUUGGUGAAGGAUGCCCCCAGAAUGGUCUGUCAAUGCGGAAUAAAUGGUCUCCCACCUUGGAGAUUCUUUGUCUCGGAGACGGAAGCGUGUUUGUGCGACUUGGCAGGGAAGUGGGCUGGAUAUGGUGUCACACCAACAGUCGCGAACUGUGUGUAGCCUUGUGUUGAAAAGCUCUAUCGCCAGGGCUUUGGAGAAUGCAGGUUGUAUGCUCGUGAAUUUGGGGCUGUGCAAGAGUUUGACAGUUGAUACCACUUUGAAAGUGGAACCUUUGUGACCUGGUUCCCAACUUUAGAGCCAGGGAAGCUUUGGUAUUUGCGGAGCACGGGACACUGUGGAUGGGCUGCCCAGCAGCCUCCCUUCUUCGGUUGGUAGCAAGCAAGUCUGUAUUUGAGGAACUGUUGUAAGUUAGAGUGACCCAGUUCGAAAGCUUUGAUCGACCAUUUGCUAAGGAGAGCUGUCAUGGUGCUAUCAAGAUCCGUGAGGCUGAGACUCUUAGUUUUUUCUUCCGGACGCAGAUAUUCCAUGCCACUUGGGUACUGGUCCUUUGUUCAUGCCCUGUCCAUAGGUAGUUGCUAAGAAGGCUUUUAACUUGUUUGACAACUCUCUUAGAGCCUGCCCAAACACCAAUGAAAUACCAUAGGGUUGACAUGAGUACUUGGUUGACAACUAGGUGUCUUCUAAAGAUAACUUGACAAAGUUCUAGUAGGUGAGUGUUUUUUUUUUUUUUUUUUUUUUUUUUUCUUUCACUUGAGUAAGGAAGAACUUAUCAAUGUCUUUGGUGGAAACUCCUAGUUCAAAAGGAAUUCCUAGAAGUUUAGCUAAGUAUCCUUCUUCUAUCCAUGUCCAUUCAUAAAUUUGUAUUGAAUGUAAGAGGGGGCCUGUUCUUCUCACCCAAUAUGUACUA